rnacentral:lncRNA from 10 species
GGAAAAUACAUAAACAUAUAAAUGACAGCUCCACUCUACACUUUAUCUCUGGGUUUCACACAUUUGUUUUCCUUUGCAAAUAUGAGGAAAAUUCAGAAUUUUAGUGAGAAAAAUUAUUGAUGGAAAAUAUUGCUUCCAUUUUUGGGCCUUUAGAAGAAUCCUAAAGUACCUAUUUUUCAAACCAUAAUGAGAGAAUUCCAAAUGCAAACUAAAGCAACCAUGCAGGCCUCUAGAGAGAAAGGGGAAUAUUAUUAUGUAUAGUCUAUCAUCAUUAUCAUCACCAAAUAGUCUUUGUUAAAGUCUUCAGGAUCACAAGGCAGUGGAGUGGUUAAAUUGGCAUUUCUGUCUCUUCCCAAGAGCUUGUAGUUUAAAUAGAAACAGAGCAGCAAAGACAAACACAUACAAGGUCAGGCUGACACCAACACUAAACAUUAACAUACUAAUUAAAAUAGAAUACAUCUCAUUACAGUUCAAUAAGAAUGGGAGGCAGGAAGAUGUAAUAUGAAAAAGUGCUAAAUUAGAGAGUCAAAAGACUUUGCAGCAUGCUGGGUGUACUGCUUUGAGCAAGUCACUCCUAAGGUUAAAACACUUGGUAAGACUUGGAGGAGGUAGUUUGGAAUAGUGAACCAAAGACAGAAUCUGGAGUCAGGAAACCACUCAACUUCUGUAACCAUGGUGAGAAACUGAGGUUUAGGAAAGGCAACUGCUAGCUCAUCCAUUAUUUGAUUGGAAGACGGGGAACACCCGACAAAAUUAAGAGCAGAGAGAAAUAUUAAUGAAUGGAAUUACAAGAAGUUGACCUCAGGGAAAUCGGAAGGUAAGCAGACUCCUCUUCCUAUGUCUUUAUUUCUCAGGCUAUAUGAUCUUUUGGCUCAUGCAUUUUUAACAGAUUUAACAAAUAUUAACUGAGAGCCUACUAUAUGUUGAGCACACUUAUGUGUCCUGGAGAUCCCAUACUGUACAUGAGCAAUAAUGUUUCUCUUUUCAUGGAGAUGCUAUUCUAGGAGACAAGGAGAAACAGUAAAACAAGUGAACAGACAAGAAAAUUUCUUAGCUAAAAGAGU